AAAACGAACUAGGACGGCGUUGGAUGCAGCGUGCGGGAGGCUGUCCACAUGUGCCCGCGGAAACGGACGGGCUAGCGCGUCCUUGGAGAUGCCCUGAGUUAGUUCAUAGCCGAGCACCGCCGAACUGGCCGACCACCGCCGAAGCACACCUAAAUUCACCGUUCCCCUUCUCCCAAGUCAACCAAACAGUGCCCCGUGCCAUAUCCCGUCCCCAGAAAUCUCGCACUGUCAAUCCUUUCCCAUUCUCGCGCAGAUCUCUCUCCUUCCCUGUUUUCUUCAUCUUUUGCCUCCCGAAAUCUCUAUCUGAGCGAGCGGUUGCCUCCAGACAAAAGGAACCAGUUCCCCUGUCCGCCACCUGUGACCCUAGCUGUGGGCGUCGCCGCCGUCCGGCUUUAAUCGGUACCCGAGUAACAACGACGGCCGGCCGCUGCAAGCACGGCGAGCCACUGGAAGGAUUCAGCACUGAACGCUGCAAGGUUACAACGUUGAGGAAGUUUGAAGAAUAAGCAAAAAAAAACUUGAAGUUCAGAACACGGAGUAUUGGCGAAUGGCCGGUGGGGAAUCACUACUGUUCAUGUGCGCUUCCUGCUUCCUUAUUUGGUUUGUCAAACUUGUGUGUUAUGUUAGACCUAUCAAUGUGUCCGUGUGAGCGAAACUACUGAUAUACACUCAGGCUCGGAGCUGUGAUGCCUUCGGUACCAACUCCCCCCCUUUCUAUGUACCUCCAUCAUGUUUUCUCCCCCGGAUCGAUAGUUGCUAAUCUAAUACUCUCCACUGAAGAGAGAAGUGGAACUGAUUAUUUUAGAAUCUCUUACAAACAAGGCAGACCUUUAUUCCAAUAGAGAGGAAAUUUGGCA